GAUUAAUAAUCUGUAUGUGAAGCAUACUGCUUGCCUAUAGAAAAGAUUGCACCAAUGAUGGAGCGAGACAAGUUCAUGGGAGCAGAAGAGGCCAAGGAGAUGGGCUUAGUUGAUGAAGUUCUUACCAGUCCACCCAAAGUAGGAGACAAAGAUACUCAAACUUCUGUGUAAUUUUUUUCCUUUUCAAAAUGUCUUUAUGGUGGGACAAUAUCAGGUGUGUAUAUAUUUGUCAUUGUUUUGUAUGCGUCUGUUCCAAACAGACGCAUAGAAUGGAAAUAAAAGGGAUUUUUAUCAUAUUGCUGAAGUACAUUUCAGUUGCUUAAUAAUUUUCAGUGCAGUGUUGCUAGACAAUAAAGAGAUUUUGCAGAAGUGCAUGUAGUGCCUCUUUGUUGUAAGUACUUUUUGUAUCAAUAAAGAUUUUGCAAAGUU